rnacentral:tRNA from 1 species
GCGGCAAUACCUCAGUGGUAGAGCCUCAGCUUCGGGUGCUGGGGAAUCCGGGUUCGAUUCCUGGCUGCUUCC